CCCAGAGCUUAACUCUGGAACUGCCAUCAAAACUUUUCAGCUAGAGUAUGAUAGAGGAAAGCAGAAUUUCUAGUGUAGAGGUGAAAUUCGUAGAUAUUAGAAAGAAUACCAAUUGCGAAGGCAGCUUUCUGGAUCAUUACUGACACUGAGGAACGAAAGCAUGGGUAGCGAAGAGGAUUAGAUACCCUCGUAGUCCAUGCCGUAAACGAUGUGUGUUAGACGUUGGAAAUUUAUUUUCAGUGUCGCAGCGAAAGCGAUAAACACACCGCCUGGGGAGUACGACCGCAAGGUUAAAACUCAAAUGAAUUGACGGGGACCCGCACAAGUAGUGGAGCAUGUGGUUUAAUUCGAAGAUACGCGCAGAACCUUACCAACACUUGACAUGUUCGUCGCGACUCUAAGAGAUUAGAGUUUUCGGUUCGGCCGGACGAAACACAGGUGCUGCAUGGCUGUCGUCAGCUCGUGUCGUGAGAUGUUGGGUUAAGUCCCGCAACGAGCGCAACCCUCACUUUUAGUUGCCAUCAUUUAGUUGGGCACUCUGAAAGAACUGCCAGUGAUAAGCUGGAGGAAGGUGGGGAUGACGUCAAGUCCUCAUGGCCCUUACGUGUUGGGCUACACACGUGCUACAAUGGCAUCUACAACAGGAAGCAAAACGGCAACGUUAAGCAAAUCCCGAAAAGAUGCCUCAGUUCGGAUUGCACUCUGCAACUCGAGUGCAUGAAGCUGGAAUUACUAGUAAUCGUGGAUCAGCGUGCCACGGUGAAUGCGUUCCCGGGUCUUGUACACACCGCCCGUCACACCAUGGGAGUUGGUUCUACCUUAAGGCAAGGUUUUAAACCCUUGACCACGGUAUAGUCAGCGACUGGGGUGAAGUCGUAACAAGGUAACCA
rnacentral:rRNA from 1 species